rnacentral:lncRNA from 1 species
CAAUGCGUUCUGUGGGAUUCUUGGGACCCUCUUUGGGAAACACUGUCUGAUGCUGACAACAGAAUCUGUCGGAAGAGGAAAGGCUGACUCUGGACCCCGGGAGAGGACCGCUCAUGCCAAGAUCAAGCAGCCACGUGAGGGGGCAUCCAUCCUGAGAGGUCCAUGCCGAUGUCACUGGUUAGGAAACUCCUGGAAAAUACCACACACCCCACACUCAGCCGGAAAGGGGUGCGGAGCAUGGAAACGCACAUCAGGAGGCUGCCGCCCAGAGCUUGGAAAUGCACAUCAGGAAGCCUCCGACUUCAUUUCCCCUCCUUCGAAAGAGGGACUUCUCUCGGUGAUCUGCAUGGCUCCUCCACGGCCACAUCUGGAGGGUUUGAGGGAUGGCCUCCUAUUCCAUGAUCAUGAACAGGGGACUGGAAUGAAUGAGAUCUUAUAUGAACUCUUAACGGGGAGGAAGAGGAUCAGGCUUCCUGGACGUGAUGUACAAGGCUCAUGUGUACUGCAGUGGAAGUGCAGAGUUGUAACCGCUGGACCCCCAGGGAAGUUCCAGUGCGUGCUUUUCUUUGUGUGAGUUCUAGUUCAAGGUCAUGGGAUGAGAACCAAAUCAAUAGGAUUUCCACUCAAACAGCUCCUUCCAUAAGUGCUGUUUUUAAUCAUUUUUCUUCAUGUUAUGAUGGUAUAAAUAUUAUUUAAAAACCUAUUUAAUAUGCUGAUUAUUUCCUUACAUAGCUGGGAGAGGACUAUGCUUGGAAACGUAACUUCUAAGCCUAUUUCUGCCUUGUUAUAAUGGAGAUAGUACCAAGUAUUUCCCAAGAGUGCUGGCAGUGAAAUUUUAAAAAUCUAUAAAUCACUCGGCAUAGGGUAAAUUCUAUGUAGUAAAUGCCCUAGAAAUAUAUUAGUAUU